rnacentral:tRNA from 1 species
GCCAACGUAGCUUAACCAAAGCAUAACACUGAAGAUGUUAAGAUGUGCCCUAAAAAGCUCCGUUAGGCA